CCUACGGGGUGCAGCAGUGAGGAAUAUUGGUCAAUGGACGAGAGUCUGAACCAGCCAAGUAGCGUGAAGGAUGACUGCCCUAUGGGUUGUAAACUUCUUUUAUAUGGGAAUAAAAUGUUCCACGUGUGGGAUUUUGUAUGUACCAUAUGAAUAAGGAUCGGCUAACUCCGUGCCAGCAGCCGCGGUAAUACGGAGGAUCCGAGCGUUAUCCGGAUUUAUUGGGUUUAAAGGGAGCGUAGGUGGAUUGUUAAGUCAGUUGUGAAAGUUUGCGGCUCAACCGUAAAAUUGCAGUUGAAACUGGCAGUCUUGAGUACAGUAGAGGUGGGCGGAAUUCGUGGUGUAGCGGUGAAAUGCUUAGAUAUCACGAAGAACUCCGAUUGCGAAGGCAGUUCACUGGACUGCAACUGACACUGAGGCUCGAAAGUGUGGGUAUCAAACAGGAUUAGAUACCCGUGUAGUU
rnacentral:rRNA from 1 species